rnacentral:rRNA from 1 species
UACAUAGGGUGCAAGCGUUGUCCGGAAUUAUUGGGCGUAAAGAGCUCGUCGGUGGUUCGUUACGUCGGAUGUGAAAAUCUGGGGCUCACCCCCAGACCUGCAUUCGAUACGGGCGAACUAGAGUGUGGUGGGGGAGACUGGAAUUCCUGGUGUAGCGGUGGAAUGCGCAGAUAUGAGGAGGAACACCAAUGGCGAAGGCAGGGCUCUGGGCCAUUACUGACACUGAGGAGCGAAAGCGUGGGGAGCGAACAGG